rnacentral:misc_RNA from 1 species
UCAAACUUGGUCAUUUAGAGGAAGUACAAGUCGUAACAAGGUUUCCGUAGGUGAACCUGCGGAAGGAUCAUUAACAAAUCCGAGUGUUGUGCGAUAAUGGAGUAUGCAAUUUGUAGGCUCAUUCGCCAACAUGACAUUUGUGCUCCAGCCAUUUGGUCUGGGUGCAAUUAUCUUAUAUAUGUUCAUUAUUGUCAGUGUAGUGUCAUUUUAUAAUAAUAAUCAUACUUUUAACAAUGGAUCUCUUGGCUCUUGCAUCGAUGAAGAACGCAGC